UUGAGAACCACUGCUUUAGGGGGACAUGUGGUAAAUCAGUGAUCACCUCUGGCAACUACUACAACCUUUGAAGUGGGAGAAUUUCGUUUGUGUGGUUUACAGUAUGUAACCCGAGUUUAGCCCAGCUUAUUCAAACCAUGCCCUAUUAGGGUGUCUGUUCCUUUAAGGCUGGGUUAAUAGGAGUAUGCUCCAUAGCGUGGUCUGUGAAGGGACAUAUUGGUCAUACGGACAUGUAGUGCUGUAUAGCUGGGCUAGAAGUGCUAAACCGCUCUGUGAUUGGAGGAGGUACUAGUCUGUUUGGAUCCCACUCACAUGGUAGGUGAGAGGGUGGGUUCAGGGGUGAAAAAAACAGCUGCAUGAGGGGGAGACAAAAAAAAGCAGCGGGAGAGUGGAGGAGGGAAGGUUCCACUGUUUUUCUCUUUGGUCACUCAUUGUAUUUUGCUUGGUUGUUCUUCAGAGGUACUGGGGACAAGGUUAAUAGCAGUGUAGCCUACGUUAGGUAAAGGGGGGGUGACGCACUUGGCGAGUGCGGCUCCAGAUGAGACGGCAGGUUACUGGAGUUACAUUGAGGCUAGCACGCAUAGCGCGGCUAAAUAGCUGUUGCACAGUUUUCUUUUUUUUUUCAAUUUUUCUUUGGUUUGCAGGAACUGUAAUAGUUAGAAGUAUUAUGGUUUACUUUCCAAAGGCUCCAGCAUAAACGGGGAGGGUUUGGGACAUAUAUGAGUCACUGACGUCAGGUUCACUCUCAAUAUUCAAGUCUAGACUAAAAACACACCUGUUUAGUUUAGCGUAUAGGGACACUAGUUCUAGCUCUAGCUAACUCUUCACUCCCAGUCAGACCUGUAGUGUGAGGUGUAGAGCUGGGUGGGGAUCGGUGCCAUUGGCUUUGGAUAAACUGGACUGUCAGUGCUGUCACUCUAGCUUUGCAAUCUCUUGUGGAACUGGAGUGCUGACAUUUCAGGGACUCCCCAUGCCUGCAUUCCCACUUGCCUCUCCCUCCUACUGAUGCUGCCAUAGCCAUAUCUGCCGGAGCUUGCACAUUGCAUAUUGCACUCACCUAGCUUUUAGCACUGCCAAUAGCCUCCUCUACUUUGCCUAAUUGUACAUUUUAUUUCCCCUACUCCUCCUGGGGGGUGAUGCCUGGAGACCUCAAUCUAUCAAGAUAUCCAGCACACCCGGCUACAUGUGACGUCGCCACCACCAGUGACGUCCCUGCAUCCAGCUCGCCGUUCUGAUCUUCCAUGGGCAAGACGAGGAGCGUAGUCAUGGGCGAGAGCUGGGGUCGAAAGCCGGGGUGGUCUGUCCUACAUGCAGGCACGGGACACGGAGACAAGAGGUCCAGCUCGUAGCCCGUUGCUCCCUUCGACUCCGCCUCCCGGACCUGGCCACGCCCCCGAUCUUCGACGCUGCUUCCGG